CCAUGAGUGUGUCUAUAUAUGGUGUCUCCAAAGAAUAGCAUGCAGUCUGAGGUAUAGCACUAUACGGGAAACUGCGAUGGCUCAUAAAUUCAGUAUCGUUUAUUUGAUAGUACUACUACAUGGAUACCUGUGGUAAUCUAGAGCUAAUACAUGCUAAAAACCCCGACUUCGGGAGGGGGUGUGUUUAUUAGAUAAAAAACCAAUGGCCUUCGGGGCUACUUGGUGAUUCAUAAUAACCUAACAGAUCGCAUGGCCUUGUGCCGGCGACGGUUCAUUCAAAUUUCUGCCCUAUCAACUUUCGAUGGUAAGGUAUUGGCUUACCAUGGUUUCAACGGGUAACGGGGAAUUAGGGUUCGAUUCCGGAGAGGGAGCCUGAGAAACGGCUACCACAUCCAAGGAAGGCAGCAGGCGCGCAAAUUACCCAAUCCCGACACGGGGAGGUAGUGACAAUAAAUACUGAUACAGGGCUCUUUUGGGUCUUGUAAUCGGAAUGAGUACAAUUUAAAUUCCUUAACGAGGAACAAUUGGAGGGCAAGUCUGGUGCCAGCAGCCGCGGUAAUUCCAGCUCCAAUAGCGUAUAUUAAAGUUGUUGCAGUUAAAAAGCUCGUAGUUGAACCUUGGGCCUGGCUGGCCGGUCCGCCUCACCGCGUGUACUGGUCCGGCCGGGCCUUUUCUUCUGGAGAACCCCAUGCCCUUCACUGGGCGUGCGGGGGUGCCAGGACUUUUACUUUGAAAAAAUUAGAGUGUUCAAAGCAGGCCUUUGCUCGAAUACGUUAGCAUGGAAUAAUGGAAUAGGACGUGCGGUCCUAUUUUGUUGGUUUCUAGGACCGCCGUAAUGAUUAAUAGGGACAGUCGGGGGCAUCAGUAUUCAAUUGUCAGAGGUGAAAUUCUUGGAUUUAUUGAAGACUAACUACUGCGAAAGCAUUUGCCAAGGAUGUUUUCAUUAAUCAGUGAACGAAAGUUAGGGGAUCGAAGACGAUCAGAUACCGUCGUAGUCUUAACCGUAAACUAUGCCGACUAGGAAUCGGGCGGUGUUUCUAUUUUGACCCGCUCGGCGCCUUACGAGAAAUCAAAGUUUUUGGGUCUGGGGGAGAGCUCCU
rnacentral:rRNA from 1 species